UACGGAGGGUGCGAGCGUUAAUCGGAAUCACUGGGCGUAAAGCGCACGUAGGCUGUUUGGUAAGUCAGGGGUGAAAUCCCGCGGCUCAACCGCGGAAUUGCCCUUGAUACUGCUGGACUUGAGUCCGGGAGAGGGUGGCGGAAUUCCAGGUGUAGGAGUGAAAUCCGUAGAUAUCUGGAGGAACAUCAGUGGCGAAGGCGGCCACCUGGACCGGUACUGACGCUGAGGUGCGAAAGCGUGGGGAGCAAACAGG
rnacentral:rRNA from 1 species